rnacentral:misc_RNA from 1 species
GAUGAAGAACGCAGCGAAAUGCGAUAAGUAAUGUGAAUUGCAGAAUUCAGUGAAUCAUCGAAUCUUUGAACGCACAUUGCGCCCGCUAGUAUUCUGGCGGGCAUGCCUGUCCGAGCGUCAUUUCAACCCUCAAGCCCCCGGGCUUGGUGUUGGGGAUCGGCGAGCCUCCGCGCCCGCCGUCCCCUAAAUCUAGUGGCGGUCUCGCUGUAGCUUCUUCUGCGUAGUAGCACACCUCGCACUGGGAAACAGCGCGGCCACGCCGUUAAACCCCCAACUUCUGAACGUUUGACCUCGGAUCAGGUAGGAAUACCCGCUGAACUUAAGCAUAUCAAUAAGCGGAGGA